UACGGAGGGUGCGAGCGUUAUCCGGAUUCACUGGGUUUAAAGGGUGCGUAGGUGGGCAGGUAAGUCAGUGGUGAAAUCUCCGGGCUUAACCCCGGAAACUGCCAUUGAUACUAUCAGUCUUGAAUACCGUGGAGGUAAGCGGAAUAUGUCAUGUAGCGGUGAAAUGCUUAGAUAUGACAUAGAACACCAAUUGCGAAGGCAGCUUACUACCCGAAUAUUGACACUGAGGCACGAAAGCGUGGGGAUCAAACAGG
rnacentral:rRNA from 1 species